CGAUUGAUAAUCGUUUCCACAAGCGAAAUGGUGGAAACUAUUGGUGGAAAGAUUCAUGCCUUCAUUGAAAGUGUCAAGUAUGGCUGUGUCGUGUUAUCGUGUAUGUUCGUGAAUCGUGAUAACGGUGAAUCGUGAUAACGGUAUAACUAACUGAUAACUAAAUUUACAUGAGUUAACAUAGUUAUGCUUUCCAACUGUAGCACUUGACUUGAUCAAGCAGUUAACUGUCGAGUUUGCCUUGGAGGAUGUGACGUCUUUUGCUUCUGCCAGUCAUAUUACUUCUAAUCAUUUCAAGCAACAUGUUAUACCCAUCAUACCUCCACAUGAAAGGACUGCUCUUACAUCCCACGAAAGACUGGCUUCUGCCAGUCAUAUUACUUCUAAUCAUUUCAAGCAACAUGUUAUACCCAUCAUACUCCACAUGAAAGGACUGCUCUUACAUCCCACGAAAGACUCCCCAGUUGGAGUGAACAAAACUCGAUCUAGGAAAUGAUAUCCAAUCAAUGAGGACAUCUCAAAGGAACAGAGAUUCAGGAUUAUAUUCAGUAUUAUAUCAUGCUCGCGAUCAGUAUGCUGUCGACCUUGAAGUUACUUAUAACAGCUUGGGAGUCGGUGGAACAAAAAUAAGAACGAGUACGAUUUACGAGAAUUCUCUAGACGGUCUUCACGACAUAUCUUCAUGACCCUGCAGCAGCUACGUAGCCCCACGUGAGGUUAUGCCUGUCAAGUAAUCAAUGUCAUUUAAGCUCGACUCUAUCUUGGCCUUUUUCUUUUGACUUACGGUCGACAAUCAAAAAGGCGUGCCUUGUUUUUCGGAAAAAAUAGUAUGGACAGCGUGCCCUGGUCAGUUAAUUGAGCCUGGCGUCAUCCAACACUCGAGGGCAGCAGAAGGACGAUCCACAGCUCCCCGGCCGAAUUGCACUGGAGCGAGUCGACGAAGUAGCCAGCAUCCUUCUGAACUCAAUUCAAAGUCUUUUCGAUGUCCAACUUUGCUAAUGGCGGGUCCGCGAUUGCUGUCGCUUCAUGAUUAGAAUCAAACUUGUGGUUUCAAGGCGACCGAAAAGAAAUAACACUGGGCGGUGUUAAGCGAUAGAUGUUUUUUUUUUCGUAACAACUUCUGGAGGCCUAUUGCAUUCUUCAAAGCCUUCUUAUGAUUUCUGUCAAAUCAAGAAGGGGGACCAUCGGCAUUCAGCUUUCUACGUUGGAAAUAUGUUCCGCCAGUUUUCUGUUUCUUCCGGCUCUCUACUACGGAUGUUUUUAUUCGAUGCUGGCGGUCAAUUCUUUCAACCCGGAACUUUCGUCGUUUAAUAACUCAACAUUGUCGUGGCGCAUUCACCCCGGGCAAGUUUGGAUGGCCAUUUUCUCGUCAAUGAUGCGUUUUAGAACAUACAAAUCGUGUUGAUAUUUUGCGAUGCUGUGUAGAUGAGUCAAAUGAAUACAUGUGUAUUUACGA